UAAUAAAGUCUUAUGGAAUGUAUGCAGCGUUUAACGCAAUACAAUACAACUUUCAGCAACGGAUCUCUUGGCUCUCGCAUCGAUGAAGAACGCAGCGAAAUGCGAUAAGUAAUGUGAAUUGCAGAAUUCAGUGAAUCAUCGAAUCUUUGAACGCACCUUGCGCCCUUUGGCUAUUCCGAAGGGCAUGCCUGUUUGAGUAUCAUGAACACCUCAACUCUCAUGGUUUGCCGUGAUGAGCUUGGACUUUGGGGGUCUUGCUGGCCUGUGGUCAGCUCCUCUCAAAUGAAUCAGCUUUCCAGUGUUUGGUGGCAUCACAGGUGUGAUGAAUAUCUACACUUGCGGUUUCCUGCCAAGUAACCUUUCAGCAAUGGAGGUUCGCUGGGGCUCAUAAAUGUCUCUCCUCAGUGAGGACAGCUUUGUGAAUGUUUGAUCUCAAAUCAGGUAGGACUACCCGCUGAACUUAAGCAUAUCAAUAAGCGGAGGAAAAGAAACUAACAAGGAUUCCCCUAGUAACUGCGAGUGAAGCGGGAAGA
rnacentral:rRNA from 1 species